CUUGGGCAGUUUGCACCCCAACGGUAUGAACAUUGACUUCUCUAAUUUCAGGUAGUCCCUACUUUCUCCUCCCCUUCUCAGCUCUCCCUCAGCCCAUUGGCUCCACCUUUUCCUUUCAGUGUAGAGAAGUGC